GCCGAUCCCAUUGUGAAGAAAGGUGCAGAAUGCCUUCCAAUAUUUCUCCUAGAACAGCUCAAGUGAGGUGAAACAGUGGAAAGGCAGCCCUGUUGAUUUGAAUUAUGCCACCCCACCUUACCAGCGCCCCAAAUGUCGGCCUUUUUCCCACUCAGGUGUGGUUGUCCUUGGAAAGACCCAGAACAGACGUUUCAUCACCAAGUGGUACUAGACAAAAACGGAAGGUAGAAGCAAAGCAGACAUAAGUACUUAUCAAGAAGCAGAGCAACCAGGAGACAACGGAAGGAAAGAGGCCCUGGUCUCCUCGGGAACUGUGUUACUGACAGAACAAGGAACAGCUUUGGCUGGAGAUGUUUAUGCUGACUUUGGAGUAUGGAUCAGAAGAGGGUCCUGGCUUGCUGAUGGAGCUCAGGCCUAUGGAAAACAGGAUGAUCUUACAGUUAAAAACAAACAACCCUGGGUGUGGUCUCAGGGCCUGGGAGGAAAGGAUGAGUCAGCUGAAAGUGAUGGAAAUUGACGGUAAGUCUAAGAGAAGCUAGCAUGGCACUGCAAGGUGAAGUGGGGGGAAUGGCCCAGAACCAGAAGAGCUGAGCUUCGCUACAUUUGGGCUGUGUGACCUUGGGCAGGAAAUUUGCCCUGUUUCCUUUUCAGUGAGAUAAGGAGAACCAUACCUCCUGAAAGUAUUAAAGGAGAAGAUUUUUAUCUAGUUCCCUUCCUCCCCCACUUUCCUUAACAGAAUCUCUCAAGAGAUGCUGCCAUUUCCUGAGCACCUGUGAGCUCAUCUUAUCCUCACAACUGAAAGUGCUUUUUCCGACGUCAGACAUGGAAAAAUAUGGCACCUAAAAGAGGAUGUCACUUUGACAACCAAUACUCCCCCAGCCCAAAACCAAUUAUUAUAAUCACUGAUGAAACUGUGAUAUGGCCUGUGAUUCACUUACAUACUCUUCUGUGUCCAUAAGAUCAGCUUCUGUCUUCCGCUUCCACCACUCCCAGUUCUCAUUCUAUUCCUAGUGUUACCUCUUGAAGAUGAUGCCUGUCCCUUAAGUAGCAGAAGCAGCUUUCUGUAUCUGGAAGAAGAGAGGCCACACUGGGCUUGAGGAGACACCAUGAUUUAUGGUCCUAGAUGAUGUCCCCUUCUCACCAUUCCCACACACAGUCACCCUUUGAGCUUGCACCAUCCUCAUAGGGGACCCUGUUGGCACUACUAUGUGGGGGAACAGCGACCCUCAAGGUUCAGGUGCAGAAGCAAGCACCCGUCAGGUGUGAUCCUGGCUCUGCCACUCACUGUG
rnacentral:lncRNA from 1 species